rnacentral:tRNA from 1 species
GGGCUGCUCGUUCAACGGUAGGACGCUUGGUUUGCACCCAGGCAAUCGGGGUUCGACUCCUCGGCGGUCCA